UACGAACAGUAAUUGGUUGAUUUCAUUGAUACCUUCAGGCCACCGUGCCUUCCCUGCCUGUCGCCAUCCUUCCCCAAGAUGGUGCACCCUAACCCGCUGGAACGGUUCUAGGAAUCCAGCAAGCC